CUUGGACGAUGACCAGCGGCAAGAACUAAGUGCUGUUUCGCACGCUUCUUCCCGCCACGUUGAUAAAUGUCACGGGAGCAUAGAAAUGGACAAAACCAGUGCACCCACCACCCAGAACUACAAUUCAUGAAAGCUCACGGGAUGAGAAAUUAACAGUCAGAGGUUCAGCCAAUCAUGCCGAGAUCUCCGAGCUUUCAGACAGAAAUGUUGCUCUAGCCAAUGAGACGACGGAUGCCGUGUAGUGGCUAGAGCUAACCAUAUUCCACCCUGAUCCACUCACACACAGGAACAUUGUCGUCUCAAGGACGAACCCACAAUCAUAGCGAGAUUGAUAAACUGGAAAUCCACCAGCAUCGAGCCAGCAUUUUACUACGCAGAUCAGAGACUGGAUUUCACCCAACUCUUUCCCCCACCCUUUCCUACCCUACAACAGUCGAAUAAGCGGCUGACCAUUUUGCCAUGUAUGUUCAGGAGUACGACCCAUUACGUCCCUUGCCCCUAUCCCUUCCCAAGCAAAAGAAAAAAUCCCAGCCUGUUAAAUAGAGUUGGAACUUCUACCAAAGGGAACGAGAUUUCCAGCCAGAUAUUACUCGUCUCAUGGAAGUUACUGAAGAUGACGGUGUGUCCUGAGACCUGUCGAAAGAAACGACAUAGACGCAUCAGCGCUUAUUUGGGAUGGCGAUUGUAAGGAGAUUAAUGAUAAGGAAAACGACUCAUCCUGUGUUUCCGAGGCUUAAUGAGUGUCAGUAUUGGCUGCUCCCUCGGGGUGCUGGGGGUAACUUGGUAAAAUCUUCGGAAGGAAUACCUUGAAAUAACAUUAUAUUUCUGGGGAAUAAUUGAAAAUUACCAUAUACUGUAUUCCACGCCGCUGCGAUUUAGAUAGAACGACCAAGCUUGACAUUAGUAUGAGGGAGUGGUAUGUACUAGUGGGGCCGUAGGCCCAGUGGAAAGGAAAACAUUUAACACCGAAGGUGAAAAGUAUUUGAACUGUAAUGGAAUAAUAAGGACGAAACUCAACCUGACAAACUCCAACGCUACAAAUUAAUUCAGAGACUGGAUAGCGAAAACCAAAAAACAAGCAAUAAAAAAAUGAAUAUGAAUAUGGAAAUAAGAAAUAAAAAGGGUAUAAGGUUGCAUGGUAACUAAGUACGUGGGACAGAUGAACGGCAAUCGAAGAAAGAGAUGGGAUGAAAUUGACACAGCCAGAUAAAUAUGGACCAGAUAUCAAAAAGCCAAAGGGAAAUCAAAAAUUGGAAAUGAACAGGAGGAUAAAAAGCCCAUUUAAAAAAAAAAAAAAAGAAAAAAGAAAAAUCAUAGCCCAAAAUUCACCAUCUGCAGGCCUUGUUCAAUCAUAAUUUCCAUCCAAUCCACAUCCAACGCAUGUCCCUUCCGCAUGUAUCCCUCCGUCUGUCUCUGGAACACAAUCUGCAGUACAUGUCUCGUCGUCGUAACGUUGCGACCAACAGACUCAUUCCCCUCAAUACCAGAAAGCAAGUCCAGCGCGAGCAUUUUCUGCGAGCUGGACGAGGACGCCACACCCGCCAUGAACAGCGGGAAAACGAUGAAGCGCAGAUCAAAACGCCCUGCGUGUACGAUACUCGAGGCAACGUGGAGGAUGGCGGUGGUCCGUUGGGAAAUUUCGAGCGCGGGGCCACCGCCGGUCUCGAUGCUUUGGCUAGACCACAUGCUGGUAUAUGAGUAGAUGAGGC
rnacentral:sRNA from 1 species